UACGGAGGGUGCGAGCGUUGUCCGGAAUCACUGGGCGUAAAGGGCGCGUAGGCGGCUUGGGAAGUCCGUGGUGAAAGCCCGAGGCUCAACUUCGGGUCGGCCAUGGAUACUCCUAAGCUCGAGUCGACUAGAGGCGAAUGGAAUUCCGGGUGUAGCGGUGGAAUGCGUAGAGAUCCGGAAGAACACCGGUGGCGAAGGCGGGUCUCUGGGCAAUAACUGACGCUGAGGAGCGAAAGCGUGGGGAGCGAACAGG
rnacentral:rRNA from 1 species